rnacentral:rRNA from 1 species
CUGGCUCAGGAUGAACGCUAGCGGCAGGCUUAACACAUGCAAGUCGAGGGGCAGCGCGAGUAGCAAUACUUGGCGGCGACCGGCGCAAGGGUGCGUAACGCGUGAGCAACAUGCCCGUAUCAGGGGGAUAAUCCAGGGAAACUUGGUCUAAUACCCCAUAGUAAUUUUGUAAGGCAUCUUAUAAGAUUUAAAGCUUUGGUGGAUACGGAUUGGCUCGCGUGACAUUAGCUGGAUGGUAAGGUAACGGCUUACCAUGGCUAUGAUGUCUAGGGGUUCUGAGAGGAAGGUCCCCCACACUGGAACUGAGACACGGUCCAGACUCCUACGGGAGGCAGCAGUGAGGAAUAUUGGACAAUGGAUGGAAAUCUGAUCCAGCCAUGCCGCGUGAAAAGGAAGAAGGUCCUAUGGAUUGUAAACUUCUUUUGUAUGGGAGCAAUAAGGCCUACGAGUAGGUUGAUGAGAGUACCAUACGAAUAAGCACCGGCUAACUCCGUGCCAGCCGCGGC